ACGGACAUAGGUUAAUGGUAGACUUUCCGAUUUCCACUCGGCGUGUGUCAGUUCAAGUCUGACUAUCCGUA
rfam:Trichoderma gamsii strain T6085 Scaffolds0187.1, whole genome shotgun sequence.